GUGCGGAGACGGGAAUCGAACCCGUGACC
rnacentral:tRNA from 15 species